CUAGACUAGAGGAACUGUCCGACUGUCGGGCACGAGAAGUCCUAAUACUUCAUGAUAUAUUUUUUAUUAAAAAUACAGAUUUUGUGUAUUACCCUAGAAAGUACUUUCUUUUAAUCGUUACCUACCUUUGUGAAUAUCUCUUAUCCUACGUGCCGAACUGUAUCACUCCAACCCAGAUACAUCCCAAUAACUCAGGCAACCACUAAAAGUAGAGGAGAGGGAUCCAGCCUAAACGUGCCUCUAAUCAGCCGACGGCAUGGUAAGGCAGCUUCUCAGCCGCCGAUAGCCACCAGAAAACCAGUAGGCUUGGAGGAGUAAAUAACACAGACUCGGAGAGAGGAGGAAUGUCAGAGCCAGGACCAAACCCAUAAAGACUGAGACGAAAACCAAAAAAAGAGGAGUCCGGACAGACAGAAAAGUGGAAGAAGAUAUCCUAGGAUUAGUGGCUAAUCCGGGCCACGACCAAUCCCCAGAGGAUUCCCCUUUUUUCCUUCUCAAGACACAGACAGCCGCCAGAUUACUGCAGUAAAUGUAUUGGCUUUCAGAGACUUAACUUAUUAUGUUUUUUAAACCAAAGAAGGCUUGGUAUUAGCUCGGCCCUAUCAGAUGCCUAGAGUGUGGGCCGCUGGAUUUUUGUAACUCUGAAAACAAAGGAUCAGGAAGAGAGGAGCACAAGGCAGGGG
ensembl:lncRNA